rnacentral:sRNA from 1 species
CUGUUUGUUUUUUAAUCAAAAUUAGAUUCAGGCAGAGAAAACCCACCUCUUGUAAGAAAAAAUUCGCUUCUCCUUGCUCUCUCUCAGUUUACUUACUACAAGUUACAGGUACUAUGUACGCCGGCCAAUUUCCCAGUUUUGGGGAA